rnacentral:rRNA from 1 species
GCGCACGCUGGCGGCAGGCCUCACACAUGCAAGUCGAACGAACUCUUCGGAGUUAGUGGCGGACGGGUGAGUAACACGUGGGAACGUGCCUUUUGGUUCGGAAUAACUCAGGGAAACUUGUGCUAAUACCGAAUGUGCCCUUCGGGGGAAAGAUUUAUCGCCAUUAGAGCGGCCCGCGUCUGAUUAGCUAGUUGGUGAGGUAACGGCUCACCAAGGCGACGAUCAGUAGCUGGUCUGAGAGGAUGACCAGCCACACUGGGACUGAGACACGGCCCAGACUCCUACGGGAGGCAGCAGUGGGGAAUCUUGCGCAAUGGGCGAAAGCCUGACGCAGCCAUGCCGCGUGAAUGAUGAAGGUCUUAGGAUUGUAAAAUUCUUUCACCGGGGACGAUAAUGACGGUACCCGGAGAAGAAGCCCCGGCUAACUUCGUG